UACGUAGGGUGCGAGCGUUGUCCGGAAUUACUGGGCGUAAAGAGCUCGUAGGUGGUUUGUCGCGUUGUUCGUGAAAACUCACAACUCAAUUGUGGGCGUGCGGGCGAUACGGGCAGACUGGAGUACUGCAGGGGAGACUGGAAUUCCUGGUGUAGCGGUGGAAUGCGCAGAUAUCAGGAGGAACACCGGGGGCGAAGGCGGGUCUCUGGGCAGUAACUGACGCUGAGGAGCGAAAGCGUGGGGAGCGAACAGG
rnacentral:rRNA from 1 species